rnacentral:rRNA from 1 species
AUUGAACGCUGGCGGCAGGCCUAACACAUGCAAGUCGAGCGAGAGGCGGAAGGGUGAGUAAUGUAUGGGGACUGCCCGCUAGAGGGGGAUAACUAAUGGAAAAGGGGGAUAAUACCGCAUACUAUCGGAUCACCCAUAUGGGAUUAGCUGGUAGGUAAGGUAAUGGCUUACCUAGGCGACGAUCCCGAGCUGGUCUGAUAGGAUGAGCAGCCACACUGGAAUUGAGAUACGGCCCAGACUCCUACGGAGUCAGCAGUGGGGAAGAUUGCACAAUGGGCUAAAGCCUGAGUCAUCCAUGCCGCGUGUAUGAAGAAGGCCCUAGGGUUGUAAAGUACUUUCAGUCGUGAGGCGUUACCGACAGAAGAAGCACCUGCUAACUCCGUGCCAGCAGCCGCGGGAAUAC